rnacentral:piRNA from 1 species
AGUCCACCUAGUAACUGCUGUUACUGC